GAUUUCUAGGGUGAGGGCUACCGAUUUGGGGAAUUUGGGGGGGAAAUAAAGGGAAUCGGGGGAGAGGAGAAAUGGUUUGGGAAAAAUAAAAUGGCGGAAAAAAAGAAGAAGAGAUUUCCAGGGUGAGGGGGAUCGAUUUUGGGACAAAGAAGGGGGAAAAAAAGGAAGAUUUUCAUUUCAAAUUGUGGGAUAAAAAAUAUAAUUAAAAAAUGGUGCCGCUUUGGAAAAAAAUUUCUAGUGUUUGAAAC
rnacentral:lncRNA from 1 species